rnacentral:lncRNA from 1 species
GCUCCUCCCUUUUCUCCUUCUUCAUUUGGGGCGAGUCGAGCUUUCCCUAGACUCUACCCGUCUUCUCCAAAUCGACACUCCUCUUCUCCAAAAUCAUUAUCCUUCCCCUAAAAACCUUUUAUCUCUCCAUACAUUUUGCUCUCCUAAGUUCCUUGCUAGCUCUGGUUGUGCAAAUGGCUCCGAAAAUGAAGCUUCCACAG